rnacentral:tRNA from 1 species
GCCGCCGUGGUGUAGUGGUAGACACAGGGGCCUGUGGAGCCUCUAGCCCGGGUUCGAUUUGUAGAUACGAAAAUCCCGGCGGCGGCC